rnacentral:rRNA from 1 species
UACGGGGGGAGCACGCGUUGUUCGGAUUUACUGGGCGUAAAGGGCGCGUAGGCGGCCACCGCAAGUCGACUGUGAAAUCUCUGGGCUUAACCCAGAACGGUCAGCCGAUACUGCGGGGCUAGAGUGCAGAAGGGGCAACUGGAAUUCUCGGUGUAGCGGUGAAAUGCGUAGAUAUCGAGAGGAACACCUGCGGCGAAGGCGGGUUGCUGGGCUGACACUGACGCUGAGGCGCGAAAGCUAGGGGAGCGAACGGG